rnacentral:misc_RNA from 1 species
GAAAUGCGAUAAGUAAUGUGAAUUGCAGAAUUCAGUGAAUCAUCGAAUCUUUGAACGCACCUUGCGCUCCUUGGUAUUCCUUGGAGCAUGCCUGUUUGAGUAUCAUGAAAUCUUCAAAGUAAAUCUUUUGUUAACUCAAUUGGUUUCUACUUUGGUAUUAGAGGUCUUUGCAGCUUCACACCUGCUCCUCUUUGUUCAUUAGCUGGAUCUCAGUGUUAUGCUUGGUUCCACUCGGCGUGAUAAGUUAUCUAUCGCUGAGGACACUGUAAAAGGUGGCCAAGGUAAAUGCAGAUGAACCGCUUCUAAUAGUCCAUUGACUUGGACAAUACUUUUAUGAUCUGAUCUCAAAUCAGGUAGGACUACCCGCUGAACUUAAGC